CUCUCUCUCUCUCUUGUAAAUGGUGAGUGCUAUCGAGCACAGGAACAGAGGGAAUGGGAAUGAAAUCGACUACUAUCUAGACUUUAUACGAGCAAACCGCCCAAAGAGUAUAAUAAAACUGUGUAAUUUUCGGACUCCAAAAGGAUACAAAGUUCAACCGAGGUCUCCCAGCAAGCACAAACAAGCUUUAAGCAAUGUUAAGCAAACAGUUGCGAGAGAACGUGCAAAAUGCGUCCAAAUAUCAUAUAAAUCUUUGGAUAAGAUUACACGAAAACAACACACAAAACUUGGCAUCUAAACAAGCUUUAAAGAUAAUGCCGAAUUAUGCAGUCCAACAGUCCGUCGCUUCGACAUGAUGAACCCAUCGAAAAGUGCACAAAAAAACAACUCUAAAGAACUCUGCUAAAAAGUUUUGGAUAAGAUAAGGGCCAGAGAGAGUUUGGUUGUUUAAUUGAAAACUGUUUGCUGCACGCCACAAAGAUCAAUCUGGACUCGCACAGAUCAAAGGUCAAGUGUGAGAAAAACGUCCAUAAGUGAUGACGUACAGUGCUCAAACUGAUGAUGAUGAUGAUGAUGAUGAUGAUGAACACAGGUGCAGGAAUAGAAUGCAAAAAAUCGAGAUAAGAUAUCAAAUGUAUGGAGUGUACAUGGAAGGGAAGGCCAAUGACCAAUGAAAACCCAUCAUCAGGGUAGAAUUGCUGCUGUUGCCGAUGUUGCUGCUGAGUCAAGUGCUAUGUUCUGGAAGCUUCUGGGUACUCAGUUCUCAGUUCUAGUUCUGAAAGCUUCAGUUUUCAAAUCGUCUGAAUAUCGUUUGUCAUACGAAAAUUGAGAGCAGAAAAAAAAACUCUUUUAUGUGGCGGCCUUGUCUUUGACUCAAAUUAUCAACAGAAUACGAUGGGCCCCUCCUGCUCUUACUCUCACGCUCGUUCUCGUUCCCGUUGUCGCUCUCCGCAUUGCCCAUGUCGUAAAAGUAAAACAAUCUGUCGGUCUCUGCUAUCGGUGGUUUGCCAUUAGUGGCGGCGAUAAGCCAACGUCUGACGAUCGCUGACAUGGCGAUUCGAUUGAAACUUGCACCCUGGUCAGUUGGUCGUUGGAGACGUUGCGGCUUAUAAAAGUGUCAAUUAAAAUCAUAUUUGGCUUUAUUGCAGAGCACAAACGAGAGCCACUUUGCCGCUGAACGUAUUAAUCUGUCUUAAAGCAGAGUUCAUAAAUCCCGAAUAAGCACAUUUACGACUUCUCGACUCAGUCAUUAGUUAUUAAUUAUAAUAACUAUUUAAA